AUAAUACUCCCUCCGUCCGGAAAUACUUGUCAUCAAAAUGGAUAAAAGGGAAUGUAUCUAAAUGUAUUUUAGUUCUAGAUACAUCUCCUUUUAUCCAUUUUGGUGACAAGUAUCUUCAGACGGAGGAAGUACU
rnacentral:pre_miRNA from 1 species